AACACAUGCAAGUCGAACGAGAAAGGGUAGCAAUACCUGAGUAAAGUGGCGCACGGGUGAGUAACACGUGACUAACCUACCCUGGAGUGGGGGAUAACUGAGGGAAACCUUGGCUAAUACCGCAUAACACCUACGGGUCAAAGGAGCAAUUCGCUUCAGGAGGGGGUCGCGGCCGAUUAGUUAGUUGGCGGGGUAAUGGCCCACCAAGACUGUGAUCGGUAUCCGGCCUGAGAGGGCGCACGGACACACUGGAACUGAAACACGGUCCAGACUCCCACGGGAGGCAGCAGUGGGGAAUUUUGCGCAAUGGGGGAAACCCUGACGCAGCAACGCCGCGUGGAGGAUGAAGUACUUCGGUACGUAAACUCCUUUCGAUCGGGACGAUUAUGACGGUACCGGAAGAAGAAGCCCCGGC
rnacentral:rRNA from 1 species